GUUUUGUUUUGGGUUUGGUUUUUUUGGGGGGUUGGGUUUGGUUUUUUGUUUUGUUUUGUUUUUUUAAUGCAAUUAGGACUAGAAGUAGCACUUUCACUUUUGUGUUUUGGAUCAACAGAGUAAUGUACUGUCUACCUUUGAUCCUUUUUAUGUAAUAACAUUUGAGAGACACAAACACAUGCAUCACAACUGAUAUGUAUUUGUUACAGUUAAAACCUGUUGGCUAGAGCAGUGCUUCAAUCUAGUAACUGGAUUUUAAUAAUUGACACAGAAGUGACAUAAAAGUAAUUCCAAGUCAUGGGUGAUAUUUUUCCUUAAGCAAGAGAUCAUUGGUUUUAAAUUGUUUGCUGUAAACACAUGGCAUACGUUGUUACCUUAUUUGGACAGAUGAUUUGCUACAAUCCGUUUUGGGAAGGUAAAGCUUUUUCUCUUCACUCUAAAAGCAGUUUUCAUGGGUGGGCCUGUUAUACCGAACAGAAAUAUUAAGUGUAUUUCCUUGUACAUUUAAUAUUUGUAUUCCAGAUAUUUAAGUAUGACUACAUAUACCUGAAUGCAUUAAAGAGUAAUUGAUGCACAACUCCCCCAGAAAGAAAGUAACACUUGAAGAUCCCUGGACUAAUUCCUCAUUGGUAACUUUAUAUAUACAUGCAAGGUUAAUGCUGUUGGACUGGUUUCUUGCUUAGAAGUCAACAUCCUUAUAUGAAAAACAAACCCUCUGCUUUUUAUUUUUGAAACUGGCAGGGUAGGAAAUACAGUUCUAAUGGAAAUGGUAAAAAACUAAGGAAAAAUACCUUGUUUAGUGUCUGCAGAGAGAGUGCCAAAUACGCAUCAGGAAUUUCAGCUUUUUAAUGUUACCUCUUCUAUUUUCAAUCAUCUGAAGUAGUCAUUUGGCACUGCCUUGCCUCUCUGCUCCUCUGAAAUGUCCCAGCAUAUACUGGACUGAUAACACGAGUCACUGGAGCAGAGUGCUUGUCUUGGGACGAAAGGUAAGUUGCGCUCUACUCAGUUCUGUAUGAAUAUUCUUCUAUAAAUCACAAGUGUGCAAAAUGUUUCUUAAUUAACCAGUUAAAGUACAAUACCUAAAGGUCUCAUCUUCUUUGAUGGAAAGGGGGAAAAGGAUACAGUUAACUUUAGUCAAAAAGGAAAACUUUCCAGUCGGUAAGAGAAGGAGUUUUGCUUUCACAUGGUUGCAUUAAAGUGUAGAGUAAGAAUGGUGGAAAAGCAAACUCCACAGGGGUGACUGUUUGCACCCUUAAAUAGGCUGCACGCUCUACUACUAAUGUAAAUGCUAGUGUGACUGCCCGAGAACAGUGUGUACUUGGACAUCUAUUUGAGUAGGAGGGGUUUGGUAGUGCAAGUUUGAGAGAAUGAGAGAUGGAGAGAAACUGAGACCUGGCCAAUUCCAGCUGAUUGAAAUCCCACAGCUUAUGUUACAUGCUUUUACGGAUACUCAAAAGUAGAUGCUGUUUAAAAAUACUGCAUCUUUUCAUGUUGGCGCUGUGGUGUUGCAGUUCAGAAUCGAAAGCAAGUGGUGCUCUCUGUAGUUAACUAGUAAAAACUGUUUGAACAUUAGGAAGCUCUAAUAAAAGACCCUGCUGCAAGACUUUCAGUCUUUGUAACUUAGAAGUAAUAAAUGCUCACUUGGGAUUACUGAGGGAAGACAGGACAGUCUGAGCACACUCUUUUCAACGUAAAAAUUCCAGCCCUUAGCCAGAGAACAAGAGGUGUGAAAUUGUCAUGCAGAAAGAGCUGCAAAGGGGAUGAUGCCAAUUUUGAAGCCAUUGAUUUAGAUUUGGGAGAUGUGUAAGAGGCUGCAUCUCAUACAGCUGUCGAGGGAGCUGGAGUGUGUGCAGAAAGCAACAGGUUGCUGAAAGCUAAGGAGGUGCAUGUUCCCUCAACUAAUAAGUAUGAACCAAUACAACCUUAUCUCUACAUUUCUCAACACCUGGGAUGCAGAAGUAGAAUUGGUAAUGUGCCUAUGACGUGGUCGGUUUUCUUUAAAUAUAUACCAGAAAUGGAUGUCGGGUUUUUUAUUGACUCUGAGACUCACACCAGCAAAUUUGUUCAAAAUGCAGAAUCAUGUUUAGCGUCAUUCAUCAGGUCACUUUCACCAAUAUGCACUUAAAACUAGUAUCACCCGGGGCACAGGGAGAUACCUGGGGUAAACUGUUCUUUUGGGGAGGGUAAAGUUCAGAUCUAAAUGAAAAUGAACUAUUCUUCACUUGCAAUAUGGCAACAACGCACUUUUAAGGCUGCAAUUUUUAGCUAUGAAUAUAUAUGUCCAAAGACCUAGCUUAAAGAGGUGCUGCAUCUGAAAAGCAUGUUGCCACGCACACUGCCACGGUGAAUAGCUAUGGAAUGAAAUCUGGUGUAGAAGAGAGGGGCAAAAAAAUCACUCUUAAUGGGUUUAAUUAAGAAAUACUGUUAAAUCUUUCUCUGUCCCAACAACUUGAUGAGGAUCUCAGUUUCAAUUCUGAAGUCUUCCAUUUUCCUCUUUCCACACUCGGUGUCCCUACCUUCUGUUCUUACCCAUCUAUCUUUCAUUUGUUGCAACUGUAAUGCCAUUGCAUUUCCAAAAGACAAUGUGACUUUCUCGUUCUCACCUUUUUAACUGAUUCCAAAUGUUCUGAAUGUUCACAUGUUGCAUUUAGUUGCAUUGGGAUGCCAUUGUCCUGUAAAGUGCAAAUUUUAGAAACACAAUUGGCAAAAAAAGAUUUGAUAGUUUUACAGAAAGAUUUGCUAUCUUAAACUCAAACUGUUUUCUAUUUUCAUCUAAAUGACUGGGAUGCUAUCUUUGUAAUUCUUUGAGGUCAUAUUUGUGAAAUAAACAAUACACGAGAGCUCUCCUGUCAUAUACACUAUAUGUAGUCUGGAGUGUUGAGCAAACUUGAGUUCCUGAGUUGUAAUAUCUAUCUACGUAUGGUAUUUCCAAUUUUGAAUGUGUGCCACUACCAAGAUAAUAAUGCUGUACAAUUUUGAAUGGUGGUAGUUUCUGUAUGGCAGUCCAGCUGAACUAUUUUGAUGUACUGCUUAAUUUUUGAAUUUUAUUUUUUAAGUUGUAUAAUUUAUUUUCUUGCAAAAUAAAAAUGUAAUAUAAAA
rnacentral:lncRNA from 1 species